GGUGAUGUGCAAUUUAUGGGUUUUGACAAAUGUAUAAUGACAUGUUUCUAUCAUUAUAGUAUCAUACAGAGUAUUUUCACUGCUCUAAAAAUCCUCUGUGCCCUGCCUAGUCUCCCCUCUCUCCCUACCUAAUGUCUAGCAACCACUGAUCUCUUAACUCUCUCCAUAGUUUCAUCUUUUCCAAAAUGGCAUAUAGUUGGAAUCAUACAAUACGUAGGCUUUUUAGACUGGCUUCCUCACUUAGUAAUAUGCAUUUAAGUUUCCUCCAUGUCUUUUUCGUGGCUUGACAGCUCAUUUCUUUUUAGUGCUGAAUAAUAUUCCACUGCCUGGAUGUACCACAGUUUAUCCAUUCACCUACUGAAGGGUAUCUUGGUUGCUUCCAAGUUUUGGCAAUUAUGAAUCAAGCUGAUUUAAACAUUUGUGUGCAGGUUUUUGUGUUAAUGUAAGUUUUCAACUCCUUUGGGUAAAUACCAAGGAACACGAUUCCUGGAACAUAGUUAAGACUAUGUUUAAUUUUGUAAGAAACUGGCCAACUGUCUUCUUAAGUGCCUAUACCAUUUUGCAUUCCCACCAGUAAUUAGUGAGUUCCUCUCGCUCCCCUCCUCACUAGCUUUUGGUGUUGUCAGUGUUCCAGAUUUUGGCCAUUCCAAUAGGAGUGUACCGGUAUCUCACUGUUGUUUUAAUUUGUACCUCCCUAAUGACAUAUGAUGUUAAGUAUCUUUUUAUGUGCUUAUUCGCAAUCUGUUUGUGUUCUUUGGUGAGGUGUCUGUUCAGGUCUUUGGCCUAUUUUUUACUCAGGUUGUUCAUUUUCUUAAUAUUUAGAUUCAACAGUUCUUUGUAUAUUUUGAAUGACAGUACUUUAUCGAUAUGUCUUUUGCAAAUAUUUUCUCCCAGUCUGUGGCUUCUCAUUCUUGCCACAGUGUCUUUUGCCAAAGUUUUUAAUUUUAAUGAAGUUUAGUUUAUCAGUUUCUUUCUUUCAUGCAUCAGGUCUUUGGUGUUGGUAACUUCUACUUGGUUUUCAGAGAUUCUUCUAUGUUCCCUGUUUCUUAAAAACAACCAGCCUAAUAUAAUCCUUAUGACAAAGAGACAUAUUU
rnacentral:lncRNA from 1 species